rnacentral:lncRNA from 1 species
CUUGGACAUUGGAGCAAGGAGGGAAAGGAAGAGAAAUUCAAGCCCUCCCCCCCUUCCCUUCGAUACCCUUCUACUCCUGGUCCUUUAAGCUGAAGGAGCUGUAGAAGUGCUCUAGAAGUCAUUCGUGUAUGGAAAAGCGUUCCUGCUUUCUGCUAUCCCUUGAUUUUGCACGUACCCUGCACAGGCAGGUGCUCACCGCGAGGUUGGAGAUGUUCUUGGUGAGAAGGGGAGACACGUGUGAAUGUGCUGAGGACAGGGGUGCAAAGCAGAUUUUUAUAACACAGAGCUACCUCACAAUAAUACCUAACUUAAAAAUGGGACCUAUUCAAAAGUGCUGGAGCUUCUUAAAAGGAAAUUAAAAGCAGCUGCUAUAAGGAUGCAGAAGAUGAGAAACUAGAUAAAACCACCCUAUCUGAAGCUCAGAGCAAUAUAUCACUAAGUGAAAUAAUUCUACAAGGGACCAAAAAGGCAAUAUUCUAACAGCAGAGUGGGAGAGACUAUUCAAAAUCAGGGAUUUCUGAGCAAAUAAAGAAACUAUUAAAAAAAAAAAAAGAAAAAAA